GAUGAACGCUGGCGGCGCGCCUAACACAUGCAAGUCGAACGGCACCUAUCUUCGGAUAGAAGCGAGUGGCGAACGGCUGAGUAACACGUGGAGAACCUGCCCCCUCCCCCGGGAUAGCCGCCCGAAAGGACGGGUAAUACCGGAUACCCCGGGGUGCCGCAUGGCACCCCGGCUAAAGCCCCGACGGGAGGGGAUGGCUCCGCGGCCCAUCAGGUAGACGGCGGGGUGACGGCCCACCGUGCCGACAACGGGUAGCCGGGUUGAGAGACCGACCGGCCAGAUUGGGACUGAGACACGGCCCAGACUCCUACGGGAGGCAGCAGUGGGGAAUCUUGCGCAAUGGGGGGAACCCUGACGCAGCGACGCCGCGUGCGGGACGGAGGCCUUCGGGUCGUAAACCGCUUUCAGCAGGGAAGAGUCAAGACUGUACCUGCAGAA
rnacentral:rRNA from 1 species